AUCUGUUUUAGUGGGGUGCAAAGCCUAAGGGGUGGGGCUCCAAACCCAACUCCCAAGGAUCCCAUUUUGACUGCGUCGUUUCUAGGAAUCAUUUGUUGCUCUGAAUCUUAGGGUUGAAGCUGCUUCGGUGAAACAUUGGUGAGCAUGAACAGAUCUUCCACUGUUUCUUGACCGUGCAAAUUCACUCGAUUUUUCUUCUGGUUGUUAUAUCACAAGAGAAACGCGAUUCCACUAGCAACCUGCGCUGAUUUCACCAUCAAAGGUAUGACUUCGUAUUGAACUCAUUUUUCUCCCACGAUUUUUCCUCCUAUCUACUACAGGUGAAUUAAAUUAUCUCAUUACUAUCCAGGUCUGUCGUUUCAUCCCUUCUCUUUCUCUCUAUGAUUUUAUUUUGUUAAUUUGAUUUUCUAUGUUUCAUGUUUUUGAGGGGAAAAAAAUACUUCGUCACCUUUUAAUUCCUGGAUUUGAAUCUGUAAAUUUUGAGUUUUCUUUCUUUGCAAUUUCUUCAAUUGAGAAUGGGAAGUCUAGUAGGAAUUUAGAAAUGUUAAAAUAGAAUUUGGUGCAUGAUCCUUGAAAUUUGUGAUUGACUUAUUUGUGUGUGACUUCAUAAUUACUUUGUUUUUCUGCUAAGCCCAACUUAUCUUCAGACCAAUUCUGCCAAGACGUAAGGAGACUUUUCAAAAGAAGGAUGAUGCGGCAAUUCCAGUCUUGACAAGAAUCAAAUUUGAUGAUUUCAUUCAGAUCCCAAUUUGAUUUGCAAUGGAUCAUCGCCAGUGAGGGGAUAGAAAGUCAGAAGACGAAAUUCUAUUGGCUUGCAAGGAUUCUGUGGCAAUUUUGAUUAUGUUUGAUCUAACAAGUCAACGCACAUUAAUCAGGUGCCAUCUUUAUCAUGUUAAAUUUAAAAUAAUUCAGGAUAUGUAGCUUUUUUUAGGAGCUAAUUGCUAAUCACAGAAGUUCGUACUCUUUUUUAUUUUGGUAAAGUUUGAAAGAAUGGUCAAAUUAAUUUAUUUUGUUGUUGUUGCCAUUUAUAAAGUCUAUUCAGUCUUAUAUGAGUUUAAUCUAUAUCGCUCUAUAAACAAUACAAAGAAAAAUGAUCAAGUACAUUAUUGCACUUUCCCCCCAUUAAUUUGAGUUCAAUUCAGAAACCAAAUUAUAGCUGUCCAAGUUGUGCUCCUUGGAAGAUCAAGGAUCGAAGUUGCAGCUGCUUACAGUGAUCCGAAAGGAAAAACAAAAAUCUGCACAAGUUUGUUUGCGGAAUUGACUCAAGUUGAAUGAUGACAGACUGCAACUCUCUAUCUGUUAAUCUUUUGAAUUCUUUGAAUUGUUUUGCCUGUCAGGUUCUGGGGGUAGGAUUGGAUCCCACCAUCGUAUCUGCGCGUGCGUGUUACAUGGCUACCUGCAUCAGAUUUUUGUUUUCUAAACCCACUCUAUUCUUCUUUGAUUCUUCCUGAUACUGUAUAAGCAUGUGAAAUCUUAGUUGUCGUGGUUGCACUGCAUUGGACGGUUGCACUGCAUUGGACGCUCAUGUUAGAAAACUGUUGAGUGGCCUCAGUGGGAGUGGGAAAUCUGCAUUUUGGUGCGUUGAAAGUUUUGUUUGUUUUAAUCACAGGUUGUUGAAUAGCUUUAGGAGGAACAUCACAAUGAAGACCAACAUCACAUUUCAGAAGCACUAUCCGGGUUUGGAGUUGCCUUGCUGUGCCCACGGAGUAAAUUUAGAUAGAUGUGUCAGCAGAAGGCAGUGAAGCAGCAACCUGAAGGUUGAACUGUGCUUUUUAAGAAAUCCUCUAGAAUAUGUCCAUCUUUAACCCGCCCUACUUAAAACUCCAGUGGUUGGCCCGUGUAUGGAUUUUGAAUUACACUUUCCAAAGUGGGGAGCAUUUCUUAACAAUCAGUAAGGUAAUGCAUAGAGCCGCAGAGUUAGCUAGCCUCAAUACUUUAUGAUGCAUAGGGCAGAUAAUGCUGGUGACAAUACUUUCUCCUCAAGCUGUAACUAUUUUCUCUUAUUAACAUUCAUGAUAUCAUACUAAACUUAGGAAUAUUGUGAUUUCUUAUGUUAAAAGUAUAUGACUAAACUCUUCAAUUAUAAAAGUUCACUACUUACUAUGA